CCCCCCUUCUUCCCCCGACCCCAUUCGUUCUUCUCAAUCUCACAACGAACCCUAGCACUCUGAAGUCUGAAGCAUUCCUAGCCCAGUAGCCCUCCAUCCGUCGUCGCCGCGGUGCUCAGGUCGUCAGCGCCACCGCCUGAUUCUCAGCACCAGUAGCCCUCCAUCGUCGCCUGGUUCCCAGCCCAGUAGCCCUCCAUCGUCUUCGCUGGCCUCUUGAACCAGUUAAGGGGGCUAUGCCAUUGGAUGAAGGGUUGGCAAUUAGAUUCAAUACAUCUAAUGUCAUCAAGUGGAAGGAAGCAAAACUGCAAAAGAAAACCAGGGGUUGCAAAAUACAAAAAUAAAUUGAAGGUAGCUGGUAUACAUUUAGUUUGAUCAAUGCUGAUUUACUGAUUUGAGGUUGAACCGGUUGGACCAAUAAACCAGUAAACCAGUAACUAGAGCGGUUUGAUGACCGGUCCGGUUUUCCGAACCUUGGUAAAGAGGAAAAGGGGAAGGGAAAACGUGAAGGGAGAAUAGGGGGGAGGGGGUUUCGGGAAGAAGAGGGGCAAGGGACCUCACCGCCGCCACCACCAUUACUCUUCGUUGUUCGGUCCUCGUCGUCUCUGCUGGAUCUCACCGCCAGAUCUCGCCGCUACUCCUCUUCUUGACUCGACGUCGACGCCAGUAGAUCCGCGAGGGUGGAUGUCGCGUGUCGCUCGCCGUUUCUGCUCCUCCUCCUCGCACAGCCGCCGGUCGUCGCUGCUCUUCAUUGGUUUCUAGUUUCUUCUGGUUAUGCUGCUUCUGCUUCUGAUGAUCUAUUCUUCUGGUUUCUGUUCUUUUGUUGUUAUUGUUCUUCUGAUUCCAUUAUCGAUUGUUUUUUCUGGGUUCCGAGUUAUGGGCUUUUGUUUUUCUGAGUUUUGAUGAUGAUGAUGAUGAUUUUCUGAGUUCUGGGUUCUUGUUGUUCUUUUAUUGUUGUUGUUGUUCUGCUUCUAGCUUCUUUUGUUGUUGUUCUUUUGAGUUCAGAUGAUGAUUUUCUGAGUUUUGAUAAUGAUGAUGAUUUUCUGAGUUAUGAGUUCA